GAUCCUGACUCAGGACGAACGCUGGCGGCGCGCCUAACACAUGCAAGUCGAACGAGCGAGAGAGAGCUUGCUUUCUCGAGCGAGUGGCGAACGGGUGAGUAACGCGUGAGGAACCUGCCUCAAAGAGGGGGACAACAGUUGGAAACGACUGCUAAUACCGCAUAAGCCCACGGCUCGGCAUCGAGCAGGGGAAAGGAGCAAUCCGCUUUGAGAUGGCCUCGCGUCCGAUUAG
rnacentral:rRNA from 1 species